rnacentral:rRNA from 1 species
CAGGCCUACACAUGCAAGUCGAGCGGCAGCGCGGGGCAACCUGGCGGCGAGCGGCGAACGGGUGAGUAAUACAUGGGAAUCUGCCCUGUAGUGGGGGAUAACUUCGGGAAACUGGAGGUAAUACCGCAUACGUCCUACGGGAGAAAGCGGGGGAUCUUCGGACCUCGCGCUAUAGGAGGAGCCCAUGUCCGAUUAGCUAGUUGGUGAGGUAAAGGCUCACCAAGGCGACGAUCGGUAACUGGUCUGAGAGGAUGGUCAGUCACACUGGAACUGAGACACGGUCCAGACUCCUACGGGAGGCAGCAGUGGGGAAUAUUGGACAAUGGGGGCAACCCUGAUCCAGCCAUGCCGCGUGUGUGAAGAAGGCCUUCGGGUUGUAAAGCACUUUAAGUGGGGAGGAAGGCUCGCAGGCUAAUAGUCUGCGGGAGUGACGUUACCCACAGAAUAAGCACCGGCAAACUCCGUGCCAGCAGCCGCGGUAAUACGGAGGGUGCGAGCGUUAAUCGGAAUUACUGGGCGUAAAGCGUACGUAGGCGGUUUGUUAAGUCGGAUGUGAAAUCCCUGGGCUCAACCUGGGACCUGCAUUCGAUACUGAUAGACUUGAAUACGGUAGAGGGGGGUGGAAUUCCAGGUGUAGCGGUGAAAUGCGUAGAGAUCUGGAGGAACAUCAGUGGCGAAGGCGGCCCCCUGGACCGAUAUUGACGCUGAGGUACGACAGCGUGGGGAGCAAACAGGAUUAGAUACCCCUGGUAGUCCACGCCGUAAACGAUGUCGACUAGCCGUUGGGGAAACUUGAUUUCCCAGUGGCGCAGCUAACGCGAUAAGUCGACCGCCUGGGGAGUACGGCCGCAAGGUUAAAACUCAAAUGAAAUUGACGGGGACCCGCACAAGCGGUGGAGUAUGUGGUUUAAUUCGACGCACGCGAAGAACCUUACUGCUCUUGAC